rnacentral:rRNA from 1 species
GACGAACGCUGGCGGCGUGCUUAACACAUGCAAGUCGAACGAUGAAGAAGAGAAACGCGAACUUCGGUUCAAAUUUCACUUCGGAUUAGUGGCAGACGGGUGAGUAACGCGUGAGCAACCUACCUCUUACAAAGGGAUAGCCUCGGGAAACCGUGAUUAAUACCAUAUGACACAUUCAUAAGGUAUCUUAAGAAUGUUAAAGCUACGGCGGUAAGAGAUGGGCUCGCGUCCCAUUAGCUAGUUGGUGAGGUAACGGCCCACCAAGGCGACGAUGGGUAACCGGGCAGUGAGGGGCGACGGUCACAUUGGAACUGAGACACGGUCCAAACUCCUACGCGAGGCAGCAGUGGGGAAUAAUGCAAAACGGAGGGAACUCAGAUGCAGCGACGGCGCGUGAGCGAUGAAGUAAUUCGUUUCAUAAAGCUCUGUUCUAUGGGAAGAAAAGGACUGUACCAAAAGAGAAAGCCCCGGCUAAAUUCGUG